CACCCCAUUUCACACCUUCAUCGCCUGCUACCUCUAUCACGAGUGAAAAUUAGCCCAGAGUCCCCCAAUUCUUCUAUAAGCUAUGUUUUUCAAUUAAAACAUUUAGAAUAAGAGAAGCAGAUCUAAGCUUAAUCCUCAUCUUUCCACAAGAAAAGACCCAAAUUUGCAGCAAGAGAUGCAACAGACCUUUGUUUUAAAAUCGUGUCGAGCUAAAUCUAAACAGACCCCAUAUGUUGCCAAAAGCAGGCACCCACCAAGGUGAGAAAAGUUGAGACAGAUGUCAGACUGCCAUUCUGGUGAAGGGGAAAGGGAAAUCUCCACAUGCUUUUUAAGAAGAAAAGAGAAACAUAACUUCAAAGAAAAAAAAGCAACACAAUAAUUUAUUAGUCCAAUAGGCAUGCUGCUCAACUCAAGAAUCAUAAGGAAGUAAGGAGACAACUAUCUUUUUUGACUCAAUCUGUUAGCUGUAAUGAUACAGAGAACUGUCCUCGUAGGUAAACAAUCUUAGACAUAAAAUAUGUUUUUUGUUUAGAAGAUAAUAGUGGUCACUUCUAAGUGUUAGCAAUAUAUUAAUACUACACUAAUUGAUAGAAAAACAUAUCUACUCCUAAAUACAUCAUGGGUACAAUUUAAAGGUUCACAUAUAACUAAAUCCUUGAAGAAGAGGCCCUAGGAAGCCCAGAAGAAUAACAAACUUCUGUCCACUUGAUAACUCUUGUGUGAACACACAGACCCCUGGGGACAUCAAAAGGGCUUUACUUGGGAUCCAAAACAAAAUAAAGACAUUGUCAGAGAGAUGCACCCCAAGGCCUCUCCUAUUUAAAACAGCCUCUAGAUAUUUACAACAUGGGGGAAUAGCUCACGAUAUCACCUACACUUUCAAACUUCAGGACACAAAUUUCUCUGUUCUUAUGAACAGAGAAAGAUGCACCCACUUCUGUUUAAAAUGCUAUUGAUUACUAUACCUAAAUAUAGAUAGAUCCAAACAUAUAAAUAUAUUGGCCAAAAAAAAGAGAGGAAAUGAAGCCAUACUCUCUGGGUUAUUAUUUUUUUCUUCAUUAUACUUUCUGCACUGUACAACUUUGGAAUUUAGGAUGAAUAUACCUUAAUUUUAUUAUCAGAAACAUUUUACGGCAUACUCUGUAAGACUGAAAACUUGUUGAUGUAUUUUUAUUUACACAAAACUUACAUGGUGGGUUAUAUAAUUCAACGAUUAUGUGUCUGAGUCUAUACUCAUGAAUAAUGCUCUUUUUAGUCAUUUCUGUAGUAAUUCAGCACAAAUCUUUGGUCUUAAACAGGUUAACAACUAGAGAAAAACAACUCCACUGACCAUGGCUGCUCUAUUCAAAUGUCUGUCAGUGUCACUCUGCACUGUGGCAGCACCACCUAGUACACUGCAGUCAGGUAGUUAAAACCAACCCAGUGAAAUUAAAUACACCAAACAGGCCUCAUGACCAAUUGCAUUUACUUAGCAAAUGAAGUCACCAUCUCAGAGUAAAACAUUCCACACUAAAAUUCAAACACAGUUCUAGAUAUGAACAUACUCCAAAUUCAGAAAGUAAUUCACAUUUAGCAUGUGGAUAUCUAGAUUAAAAGGCAGAAAAUGCCUACUUUUAAAUAAACCCAACUACGUUGUUACAGACAUUUAACAGAAGCCUCUCCUCCUUUUUCUUUUCCAUUUUGUUUGUUUGUUUGUUUGUUUGUUUGUUUAAACAGGGUCUCACCCUCAUCCAGGCUGGAGUGCAGUG
ensembl:lncRNA